rnacentral:lncRNA from 1 species
ACUUGCUGGGAGGCAGGGCCGGGAGAGCCCGACUUCAGGACAACUUGGGCCUGCGGCGGUCGCCGGGAGGCCCAACCUUGGCGUGGAGGAGCCCACCGACCGGAGACCAUUUGGGGCCUGGAGAUGCCAUCGGAGGGCAGGAGCUCAUCCUGGAGAGGCCACCGUGAGGCCUGACCUGGGCCUGGGGAGCUUGGCUUGAGGAAGCUGUGGGCCGACCAAGGCCGCCAGGAGAUGGCUAAAGAAACAGGCUCAGAGAAUGUUAUUUGAUUGGACCGUGUUGCAUUUCUGGACAGUGCAGCUGAGAUCAGACUUUGUGUGUAACUCCACUAGCCUACCAGGGUGCCUCUCAUAAAGAUGAAUUUCUUCCUCUGCUGAGUGCUCUAAAGACUCACUCCUUGGCACUCAGGGCCGUGGACAGGAGCUUUUUACUCACCAAUGAAGAACACCAAAUUAACACGACCCCCGUGCUGCCCUGAGGAAGUUGAAGCUCCUCGCUGCUUCUGGCACUUCAGCGGGAAGUUGGUUGGGGCGGGAUCGCGCGCCCUCUGGUGGCGCCAUGGUUCAGCACAGACGCUCUUGCUCACAGUUUCGCGGCGGAUGUGCGCCCCCUCCUGGCUGUCCUGAAAUACCUAUAAAAUUCAAUAUUCAGUUUAUUCAGUGUCAUAAUUUUGGAAAUUCAAACCGAAAUAAAGGCCAGUAUAUCCAUACCCUUCCCAUAAAUGGUGAUGGAAGAAUUAUUUGGAAGCCAUAUAGAAUGAAAUGACUCUAUACACAAAGUAAAACACAAAAACCUACUCAAAAUAGUCCAGAGACUACAACUUCAAAUGCAAAACUAUAAAUAAUCUAAAAGAAAACCUAAGAGACAUUGGAUCUGGUGUUGAGUUUUAACACACAGCAUCAAGUGCCAAUUCGUGAAAAUACUGAGAACAGACUUUAUAAAACUAAAUUUUCUACUAUGAAAAACCCUAUUCAGAGAACAAAAAGACAAGACACACUGUCAGAAGAUAUUUACAAAAUACAAACGUGAUUUUAAAAACUGUAUUGAAAAUACACAAAGAACUCUUCAAAGGAACACUAAGAAAACUAAAAACCCAAAUAAAACUGGGUAAAUAUCUGAACAGACAUCCAGCCAAAGAAAAUAUAUAG